AAUCAAGCGUUUAAGGGCGUGUGGCGGAUGCCUUGGCACUGAAAGCCGAUGAAGGACGUGGUAUACUGCGAUAAGUUUCGGGGAGCUGUAUGCAGGCUUUGAUCCGAAAAUUUCCGAAUGGGAAAACCCACCACUUUAUGUGGUACUUUAAACUGAAUACAUAGGUUUAAAGAGAUAACCCGGAGAACUGAAACAUCUAAGUACCCAGAGGAAAAGAAA
rnacentral:rRNA from 1 species